rnacentral:lncRNA from 1 species
ACAACACAAAUGUUAGGGUUACCCUCCCUACCCAUCUUUACAACAGUGUAUUGAAGGAGUAGCACAAAUAUAAUGUGACGUAGGGAUGCUUGUCCCUGCUGGAAUGGAAAUGUUUUGUUUACUGGAUGGCAAAUACUGAAGCUUUAUCAGUGAGAGAGCUAGGCAGAAAGAGGCUGCAGUUUGACUUUGCUAAACUUUUACACAAUUUUUCCUCCACAUGAAAUAUUUCCACAGGAAUAUAAUGCUUGUGAAAGAUGCUGGAGCAACAGUUGCAGAGAUUGAACUCCUCUACCCGCAGGAAAGGUUUUUCUACACGAGCAGGAAGUCUUCUCUUCCCUGUUACGGGGACACUAACCUCUUGAUCACAAUGAGGGGAAGAAAGGAUGGACCAGCAGCAACGUGGAGUGGGGUGACGUCCACACUUGGACUCUUUGAACACUGUCCUGCUAACAUGGAGAACUGAAUAAAAGAGUUGUGAAUUCUAACUCAUGAGAGUAUGAGGUUCUUUUUGGUAUCAUAUGCACCAAUUCCCCUUUCUUCAAGUGCUGGUU